rnacentral:lncRNA from 1 species
UCCUCCUCAACAACUUGAAUCUAGGGUUAAGUAUUUCAGUUAAAACCCCAGUUCCCCUUUCCGGUAUGGUAAUCGGUUUUGGGGGAACCUCCAUUAAGCCAUCAAUGAACUCAAUGAGGUCCUGUCCCUCAAGAAAACUCACAAUUUGUGUCCGCCACUGUAAGAAAUUAUCGGCGGACAAAAAAAUUGAAACGAAAUUACCAAUAUUCAAUGAAGUCGGAUAGGGAUA